GACGUAGGGCGCGAGCGUUGUCCGGAUUUAUUGGGCGUAAAGAGCUCGUAGGCGGCUUGUCGCGUCGACUGUGAAAACUUGGGGCUCAACCCCAAGCUUGCAGUCGAUACGGGCAGGCUCGUGUUCGGUAGGGGAGACUGGAAUUCCUGGUGUAGCGGUGAAAUGCGCAGAUAUCAGGAGGAACACCGAUGGCGAAGGCAGGUCUCUGGGCCGAUACUGACGCUGAGGAGCGAAAGCGUGGGGAGCGAACAGG
rnacentral:rRNA from 1 species